rnacentral:tRNA from 1 species
UUAUAUAUGGUGUGAAGCACGUUAGAUUUUCAUUUUAAAAGGGUAUAUUAUAUUCUAUAUCAG